rnacentral:rRNA from 1 species
GACGAACGCUGGCGGCGUGCCUAAUACAUGCAAGUAGAACGCUGAAGAGAGGAGCUUGCUCUUCUUGGAUGAGUUGCGAACGGGUGAGUAACGCGUAGGUAACCUGCCUUGUAGCGGGGGAUAACUAUUGGAAACGAUAGCUAAUACCGCAUAACAAUGGAUGACACAUGUCAUUUAUUUGAAAGGGGCAAUUGUUCCACUACAAGAUGGACCUGCGUUGUAUUAGCUAGUAGGUGAGGUAAUGGCUCACCUAGGCGACGAUACAUAGCCGACCUGAGAGGGUGAUCGGCCACACUGGGACUGAGACACGGCCCAGACUCCUACGGGAGGCAGCAGUAGGGAAUCUUCGGCAAUGGGGGCAACCCUGACCGAGCAACGCCGCGUGAGUGAAGAAGGGUUUCGGAUCGUAAAGCUCUGUUGUAAGUCAAGAAUGGGUGUGAGAGUGGAAAGUUCACACUGUGACGGUAGCUUACCAGAAAGGGACGGCUAACUACGUG